rnacentral:rRNA from 1 species
GACGAACGCUGGCGGCGUGCCUAAUACAUGCAAGUCGAACGCAGUGGGGACGGGCGAGUAACACGUGGGUAACCUCCCAUCAGAGGGGAUAACACUUGGAAACAGGCGCUAAACCGAGACUGAUGGAUGGACCCGCGGUGCAUUAGCUAGCUGGGGAGGUAACGGCUCACCAAGGCAACGAUCCAUAGCCGACCUGAGAGGGUGAUCGGCCACACUGGGACUGAGACACGGCCCAGACUCCUACGGGAGGCAGCAGUAGGGAAUCGUCGACAAUGGACGAAAGUCUGACCUAGCAACGCCGCGUGUGUGAAGAAGGUUUUCGGAUCGUAAAGCUCUUUUGUUAGAGAAGCGGUAUCUGACCAGGAAGCCACGGCUAACUACGUGCCAGCAGCCGCGGUAAUAC